rnacentral:rRNA from 2 species
GUACACGGUGGAUGCCCUGGCAGUCAGAGGCGAUGAAGGACGUGCUAAUCUGCGAUAAGCGCCGGUAAGGUGAUAUGAACCGUUAUAACCGGCGAUUUCCGAAUGGGGAAACCCAGUGUGACUCGUCACACUAUCAUUAACUGAAUCCAUAGGUUAAUGAGGCGAACCGGGGGAACUGAAACAUCUAAGUACCCCGAGGAAAAGAAAUCAACCGAGAUUCCCCCAGUAGCGGCGAGCGAACGGGGAGGAGCCCAGAGCCUGAAUCAGCAUGUGUGUUAGUGGAAGCGUCUGGAAAGGCGCGCGAUACAGGGUGACAGCCCCGUACACAAAAGCGCAUGUGCUGUGAGCUCGAUGAGUAGGGCGGGACACGUGGUAUCCUGUCUGAAUAUGGGGGGACCAUCCUCCAAGGCUAAAUACUCCUGACUGACCGAUAGUGAACCAGUACCGUGAGGGAAAGGCGAAAAGAACCCCGGCGAGGGGAGUGAAAAAGAACCUGAAACCGU